AGAGAUCUGAAUCCCCGACAGCAGUGAUCGAGCAUCGCUCGCAUUCAGAUUGGAGGGGGGAUUCACUCCAUCGGACCCAUCCAAGGUUGCGUGGGUCAUAACUUGUUCAUAUUCGCCGUCCCCAGAACGGCCGACAGGUAGCAACCUUGGAACGCCAUUAAAGGCGAUUUCGCAAUGAGCGAACCCAGAUGGGUUCACAGCUCCUAUGUACGUGUCCAAGUCGAGGUCCGGGUCUCGACUAGCGUUCAGGUCCACGGGAGGUGGCGGUGUUCGUUCGGAGCGCCGGCUCGCUCGUCUUCGUGGAAUUGAGGCACCACGGUCCACUAUCAGAGUCUCCUCGAUGUUAACAUUGAGAGGAGGAAGGAUCCCUUCAUUUUCCUCGGGCACAUGUACUUUGCCCUUCCCGGUGGUGCGCCUUCUCUUCCUCUUCAGAGAAGGACCUUGGCUCGGGUUCAGUCCCGACACAAUCCGGCC
rnacentral:lncRNA from 1 species